rnacentral:rRNA from 1 species
AGAGAACUUGGCAGAGAUGCCUUGGUGCCUUCGGGACCUCUGAGACAGGUGCUGCAUGGCUGUCGUCAGCUCGUGUUGUGAAAUGUUGGGGUUAAGUCCCGCAACGAGCGCAACCCCUAUCCUUUGUUGCCAGCGAUUCGGUCGGGAACUCAAAGGAGACUGCCGGUGAUAAACCGGAGGAAGGUGGGGAUGACGUCAAGUCAUCAUGGCCCUUACGAGUAGGGCUACACACGUGCUACAAUGGCGCAUACAAAGAGAAGCGACCUCGCGAGAGCAAGCGGACCUCAUAAAGUGCGUCGUAGUCCGGAUCGGAGUCUGCAACUCGACUCCGUGAAGUCGGAAUCGCUAGUAAUCGUAGAUCAGAAUGCUACGGUGAAUACGUUCCCGGGCCCUGUACACACCGCCCGUCACACCAUGGGAGUGGGUUGCAAAAGAAGUAGAUAGCUUAACCUUCGGGAGGGCGUUUACCACUUUGUGAUUCAUGACUGGGGUGAAGUCGUAACAAGGUAGGCGUAGCGAG